rnacentral:lncRNA from 1 species
UAAUCUGGAACCUAGAGGUUCCAAAUCAAGGUGUUGGCAGGGCCAUACUCUCCCUGAAGGCUCUAGAGGUGAAUUUGGUCCUUGGCUUUCUCUUGGCUUCCAGUGUCGCUGCCAAUCCUUGGUGUUCCUUGACUUGUGGACCCAUCACUCCAAUCUGCCUCCGUUGUCACAUGACAUUCUACAUUCUCCUCGUGUGUCUGGCUUUGUGUCUUCUUCUUUUCUUGUAAGGACACCCAUCACAGUGGGUUAAGGGCCCACCAUAUUCCAGUAUCAUCUCAAGAUAACGGUGUGACAUAAUGGUGCGGCAGAGGUUAUGGCAGCUCCUAAUCACCAAAGACAAGGCUUGUCUGUGUAUUUGAUGGAACACUGACCUUUUCCAGACUUUAUGAACUGACUUCUAUGAGGAAAGAUCUUCACAUGCUGGGGAUGAAGUGGCAACCAAGAAGAUUUCUCUUGAUGCUGAGCUAUGCAGGCCUGAGAUAUGAGGUUACACAGAGUCUCACUCUGUGCCAGGCUGGAGUGCGGUGGUGCGAUC